AUUGAACGCUGGCGGCAGGCUUAACACAUGCAAGUCGAGCGGAGAGAGGUAGCUUGCUACUGAUCUUAGCGGCGGACGGGUGAGUAAUGCUUAGGAAUCUGCCUAUUAGUGGGGGACAACAUUUCGAAAGGAAUGCUAAUACCGCAUACGUCCUACGGGAGAAAGCAGGGGAUCUUCGGACCUUGCGCUAUUAGAUGAGCCUAAGUCGGAUUAGCUAGUUGGUGGGGUAAAGGCCUACCAAGGCGACGAUCUGUAGCGGGUCUGAGAGGAUGAUCCGCCACACUGGGACUGAGACACGGCCCAGACUCCUACGGGAGGCAGCAGUGGGGAAUAUUGGACAAUGGGCGCAAGCCUGAUCCAGCCAUGCCGCGUGUGUGAAGAAGGCCUUAUGGUUGUAAAGCACUUUAAGCGAGGAGGAGGCUACUUUAGAUAAUACCUAGAGAUAGUGGACGUUACUCGCAGAAUAAGCACCGGCUAACUCUGUGCCAGCAGCCGCAGUAA
rnacentral:rRNA from 1 species